rnacentral:rRNA from 1 species
UCAACGGAUAAAAGGUACUCCGGGGAUAACAGGCUGAUACCGCCCAAGAGUUCAUAUCGACGGCGGUGUUUGGCACCUCGAUGUCGGCUCAUCACAUCCUGGGGCUGAAGUAGGUCCCAAGGGUAUGGCUGUUCGCCAUUUAAAGUGGUACGCGAGCUGGGUUUAGAACGUCGUGAGACAGUUCGGUCCCUAUCUGCCGUGGGCGCUGGAGAACUGAGGGGGGCUGCUCCUAGUACGAGAGGACCGGAGUGGACGCAUCACUGGUGUUCGGGUUGUCAUGCCAAUGGCACUGCCCGGUAGCUAAAUGCGGAAGAGAUAAGUGCUGAAAGCAUCUAAGCACGAAACUUGCCCCGAGAUGAGUUCUCCCUGAGACUUAGAG